GAAAGUAAAAACGUAACAAGGUUUCCGUAGGUGAACCUGCGGAAGGAUCAUUAAUUAUUCUCGAACGUCAAGGUGGGUGGUGGAGGUAUGGGCAACCAUACUUACUACUCGCCCCUUGACUCUUCAUGAACAUCCCUUCUGUGUAUCAAACCUUUGUUGCUUCCCGCAUGGUGUGGCCUGCAAAGGCUAUCCUGUGGGAAGGAUAUGAUAAACUCUUGUUGUUGUGUCAUUAGUCUGAGUGGUAAACACAUGAAACAAGUUAAAACUUUCAACAACGGAUCUCUUGGUUCUCGCAUCGAUGAAGAACGCAGCGAAAUGCGAUAAGUAGUGUGAAUUGCAGAAUUCAGUGAAUCAUCGAAUCUUUGAACGCACAUUGCGCCUUCUGGUAUUCCGGGAGGCAUGCCUGUUCGAGCGUCAUCAAACACAUCCUCAAGCACUUUUGCUUGGUAUUGGAGGCAGAUGUCCGCAUCUCCUCUUAAAUUCCUCAGCGGAAACUACUGCAGUCUCAGGUGUCAUAAGAUAGAUUACCUUUCGCUUGAUAACUGCCGGUAGGUUCUUGCUGUGAAGAGCCCCCCAGCUAUUCUUUUACGUUGACCUCGAAUCAG
rnacentral:rRNA from 1 species